rnacentral:misc_RNA from 1 species
GAAACUGAAAGAUGCGGAGUUCCCUUCCAGCCACUAUUAAGGCAUUUGCCAUUUCUGACAAGUAAGCAUGAUUUCCUAGAGGCAAAAUUCUGAAGCAACAGUUCUGCUUGGUCAAAACAUGACCUGCUAACUUCUAUUUCCACCAUUCCAAGCCUGGUGAAAUAAGCCCUCCAUUCAUCAAUCUUCAUGUGCUGGCAAAUCCAUUCCUCACCUUCAGCUGCAACAAUAUCCUUGAUCUCCUGUCCUAAAAAUGCUUCUGCUGCAAUCCUGUUUUGAUCAUCCUGAUCAAUGCAAACCCUAAUACAAUCAUAACAUGAGCUAUAGAAUUGUAGUGCUUCAACAAACUGGUCUAUAAAUGUUGGUGAACUGUGAUUUGC